UACGGAGGGGGCUAGCGUUGUUCGGAAUUACUGGGCGUAAAGCGCGCGCAGGCGGCGAUCUACGUCUGGGGUGAAAGCCCGGAGCUCAACUCCGGGACUGCCUUGGAUACGGGAUCGCUUGAGGAUUGGAGAGGCAAGGGGAAUUCACGUGUAGCGGUGAAAUGCGUAGAUAUCAAGUGGAACACCAGUGGCGAAGGCGAGUCCCUGGACAACACCUGACACUGAGGCACGAAAGCUAGGGGAGCAAACAGG
rnacentral:rRNA from 1 species